rnacentral:misc_RNA from 1 species
GAUGAAGAACGUAGCGAAAUGCGAUAAGUAAUGUGAAUUGCAGAAUUCAGUGAAUCAUCGAAUCUUUGAACGCACAUUGCGCCCGCCAGUAUUCUGGCGGGCAUGCCUGUUCGAGCGUCAUUACAACCCUCAGGCCCCCGGGCCUGGCGUUGGGGAUCGGCGGAAGCCCCCUGCGGGCACAACGCCGUCCCCCAAAUACAGUGGCGGUCCCGCCGCAGCUUCCAUUGCGUAGUAGCUAACACCUCGCAACUGGAGAGCGGCGCGGCCACGCCGUAAAACACCCAACUUCUGAAUGUUGACCUCGGAUCAGGUAGGAAUACCCGCUGAACUUAAGCAUAUCAAUAAGCGGAGGA